UCCCUUUUGGCUUAGUUGGUAAAGAAUCUGCCUGCCAUGUGGGAGACCUGGGUUCGAUCCCUGGGUUGGGAA
rnacentral:tRNA from 1 species